UAUGUACUCCCUCCGUUCGGAAUUACUUGUCUCAAAAAUGGAUGUAUCUAGAACUAAAAUACAUCUAGAUACAUCCAUUUCUGCGACAAGUAAUUCCGAACGGAGGGAGUAUUUC
rnacentral:pre_miRNA from 1 species